rnacentral:rRNA from 1 species
UACGUAGGGUGCGAGCGUUGUCCGGAUUUAUUGGGCGUAAAGGGCUCGUAGGCGGCCUGUCGCGUCGGGCGUGAAAGCCCACUGCUUAACGGUGGGUCUGCUUCCGGUACGGGCGGGCUGGAGUGUGGCAGGGGAGACUGGAAUUCCUGGUGUAGCGGUGGAAUGCGCAGAUAUCAGGAGGAACACCGGUGGCGAAGGCGGGUCUCUGGGCCGAUAUUGACGCUGAGGAGCGAAAGCGUGGGGAGCGAACAGG